UACUUAGGGGGCGAGCGUUGUCCGGAGUUACUGGGCGUAAAGCGCUUGUAGGCGGUCCACCAAGUUUGGGGUGACAGUUGCCGACUUAAUCGGCAAAGUGCCUCAAAGACUGGCGGACUUGAGGGCCACAGAGGGACAUGGAACUCCAGGUGUAGUGGUGAAAUGCGUAGAUAUCUGGAAGAACACCAAAGGCGAAGGCAGUGUCCUGGGUGGUCGCUGACGCUGAGAGGCGAAAGCCAGGGGAGCGAACGGG
rnacentral:rRNA from 1 species